UUUCUUAAAGGGACACUUGUACAGUACUGCUAGUCCCAUAUUUUCUCUUCUCAGAGGACCCUCAUCUUGUUUGGCUUUUACUUCUGUUAACAAACCUUGGAAAGAUUUCAGAUUUAACUAGGAAGACUGUCUUGCCCAGGUCCUGUGACCACACUUCGGGGCUGCUGCUGUACAGUGGGAUGACUGGUGCCCACCUGGUUUGGUAGAGCAGAAAGCAUCCAGCUCCCCAUGUGCUCAUUCAGGACUGCUGUAUUACAUCACUGCAUCCUCCUCACUGAUCUCCAAGGCAGCGGGCAGGAGCUGCAGAAGAGGCCACUGUCCCUGUCUCAAAGGCUCAGACCAUACAUCUGUCAUCCUCGAGGUCCUUCGGGUACUGUGAAUCAAGACCCAGACCUUGACUUGUGAUAGAACCGUGACAAUCAGCACUGAACCAGUGUUUCCCAGAGUGUGAUUCCUGUACCACUCUGCUGGUAACCAGAUGACUGGGGAGGAGGAGCUCAGCCAUAGGCAUUAAAUAACCAGUUGCAUAGCAGAAAGAGAGUCCCCUCUCCAUUCUUUAUUGUAUCAUCAUCAUCAUCAUCAUCAUCAUCAUCAUCAUCAUCACCACCACAUUAACUCCCACUAUAUGAAAAGGUCAUUUUUGUAAAGACAGACAAAUCUCAGCAAUCUCAUAACUUGACCUAAAGGGAUAUCUUAGACAUACUAGAAGUUCCACAGAAGAAGAAAUGAAUAGGUACAAAACAGUGCGGUUCUGCUCAAAUCCCCUGUGACUCCUUCCCCAGUAUGCUUCACACUAGAAUGUUCUCCUGGGCAUAGCCUGUUGCUUUGAUUUUGGCUGCUAUUGUGAGAGUCCCCUUAUUUCAUUUUCAACAGUUUGUCUGUUAUGUGCCUUGGUGAGAUUUUCUUGAAUUUACCCUGCUUACGUUUGCUGAGCUUCUCCAAUCUGUAUUCCUUUCAACAAAUUUGAGGAGUUUUUAAUAAACAUUUCUUCAAAUAUUUUUCCACUUCAUUAUCUCUGCCCUCCUUCACUGAUUCCAUAUAUAUGUAUAAGUUGAAUCUUCUAAUAUUGUCCAGCAGAUCAUUGAAGUUUGUUUUAAAAAUAAUUUUCUCUCUGUUCUUCAAAUUGAAUGUCUAUUGCUUCACCUUAAAAGUUAUCUUUCCUCUGUCUUUUCCAUUUUGCUGUUAAUUCCAUCCAAUAACUUAAAAUUUCACAUAUUAUCCAUUUCAUAUUGGUGAUUUCCAUUGGAUUAUUCUAAAAUUUUUUAUGUUUUUAUAAGCAUAUUUUCCUUUACACUUAUUAUGUCUUUUUUUUAAUCCAUGGCUAUAAUCACUGCUGGAAAAAAAAUCUUCACUUUUUGGAAAAAGAAAAAAAUCCUCAGUUCCAACAUUUGUGUUGUUUUGGGGUCCAUGUUCGCUGGUUUUCUUUCUCUCUUGAGAAGUGAUCAACUUACUUCUUCAGCUGUCAAGUAAUUUUGAAUUGUAUACUGGACAUAAUGAAUGUGCCAUAAACUCUGGAUUCUGGUAUAAUCUAAACAGUGUUGAUUAUCUUUGUUUGCUAGUUUUAGUAGAGACAUAAUUUGGGUGGAAUCAAAUGCAAAGUCACCUGGCCUGCCUGGCUCCCACCAUACUGGCUGGUAGACUGCAGCUCCAAUCUCCACUCAGCUCCUACAGCUUAGAUGAACUUCUUGCCAUCUGUCCUGUGGAUAUACACAUGCUGCAGGGUCAGCUGGACAUUUGGGCAGUUUGUACACAAAAUCUGGGACUACUCAUCUCUCUCUCUCUCCUCGCUGGGAUUUCAACCUCCACUUUCCAGCAAUUAUUUUUGCCCCCAAUUCUGUCCUCUCAUUAUUUAAGACAGUAAAAGAUUCUUUUUAAAAAAAAAAAAUUACAACUGUAAAAUAUUCUUUUAAAAAAUAUUCAAUUUUAGCUGGCUUGUGCAG
rnacentral:lncRNA from 1 species